rnacentral:rRNA from 1 species
AUUGAACGCUGGCGGCGGGCCUAACACAUGCAAGUCGAACGAGUGGCGGACGGGUGAGUAAUGUCUGUGAAACUGCCUGCUGGAGGGGGAUAACUACUGGAACCGGUAGCUAAUACCGCAUACCAUGAGAUGUGCCCAGAUGGGCUUAGCUUGGUGGUGGGGUAACGGCUCACAACGGCGACGAUCGCUAGCGGAUCUGAGAGUAUGACCAGCCACACUGGAACUGAGACACGGGCCAGACUCCUAAGGGAGGGAGCAGUGGGGAAUAUUGCACAAGGGGCGCAAGCCUGAUGCAGCCAUGCCGCGUGUAUGAAGAAGGCCUUCGGGUUGGAAAGUACUUUCAGCGGGGAGGCGUUACCCGCAGAAGAAGCACCGGCUAACUCCGUGCCAGCAGCCGCGGUAAUUC